rnacentral:rRNA from 1 species
AUUGAACGCUGGCGGCAUGCCUUACACAUGCAAGUCGAACGGUAACGGGCCUUCGGGUGCCGACGAGUGGCGAACGGGUGAGUAAUACAUCGGAACGUGCCCGAUCGUGGGGGAUAACGAGGCGAAAGCUUUGCUAAUACCGCAUACGAUCUACGGAUGAAAGCAGGGGACCGCAAGGCCUUGCGCGGACGGAGCGGCCAAUGGCAGAUUAGGUAGUUGGUGGGAUAAAAGCUUACCAAGCCGACGAUCUGUAGCUGGUCUGAGAGGAUGAUCAGCCACACUGGGACUGAGACACGGCCCAGACUCCUACGGGAGGCAGCAGUGGGGAAUUUUGGACAAUGGGCGCAAGCCUGAUCCAGCCAUGCCGCGUGCAGGAUGAAGGCCUUCGGGUUGUAAACUGCUUUUGUACGGAACGAAAAGCCUUCUUUUAAUACAGGAGGGUCAUGACGGUACCGUAAGAAUAAGCACCGGCUAACUACGUG